CAACCAUACAGACACAGGCCUGGAAGUGCUCGGAGGCUGUGCGUGUGCCAGAGAGCAGUCCUUGGGAACAGUUGAAGAAUAGCUCAUUCAGACAACAGGUAAUUGGUUGAAAUAGGUUUCUAAACGGCAUCAAAUCCAGAGUGAACUUAGUGGCUGGAGGGGGUGGGGGCAGGUUUUUUCCAGAAAACCUUUUAUUGAAAUAUACAUACAGAAAAGUACAAAGAUCACAAGUGUAUGGUUUGAUAAAUUCCCACCAAGUGAACCUGCCCAUGUAACCUGUACCUAUAGAUUUAAAAACAGAGCAGGGCCAAUACCCCAGAAGUCCCUUUCUACCCAACCCAGGUAACACCAUCCUGACUCCAAAAACCACAGUUAAGUGUUGCCUGUUUGGGGAUUUCAUGUAAAGAGAGUCGUACCGAAGUUCUCUGUUGUGUCUGUUGCUCUCAUUCAGUGUGAUGCAGGAGGGGCUCAUCCGUGUGGCUGCUCAUGAUUGUAGCUCAUUCAUUCACUCUCAUUGCUGAGUGGUAUUCCAUUGUGUGACUGCAGCACAUUUUAUAUGCCCAUUUUACUUUUUUUUUUUUUUUUUUGAGAGAGAGAGAGGGUCUCACUCUGUUGCCCAGGCUGGAGUGCAGUGGCAUAAUCACAGCUCACUGCCACUCUUUCUAACUCCUGUGCUCAAGCCCACCUCAGCCCCCAGAGUAACUGAGUCUACAGGUGCACCCCACCACACUCGGCUAAUUUUUUUUUUCAUUUUUUGUAGAGACAAGGUCUUGUUAUGUUGCUCAGGGAGGUGAGGUCUCAAACCCCUGGGCUCAAGUAAUCUUACUGCCUAAGCCUCCCAAAGUGCUGGGAUUACAGGCAUAAGCUAAUGUGCCUGGACUGCCCACUCUACUAUUAAUGGAUGCGUAUUUUGUUUACAAUGAGUAAAAUACACAUGCAUGUACUUUUAGUAUGUGCUCAGUUUUCGUUUAAUACAAAGUGUGAAUGGCCUUCUGGAACUUCUCAUGGGGCGGGGAAAUCUUGAACCGUAACACAGCUUGGUAUGCACACGUCACAUUGGGAAUCAGCUGGUUUCGCCUUCCCUGGUCUGAUGGCUUAGAUUGGUCUGGGCAGGAAAAGCCAGGCCAUACAUGUGGAAUUGGCAAAUUGCAAUGCACACAUUUCUGUUAUAUGCACAUCGGGAUCUGGGACAGGCUGGACACGAUGGGGUCUGCAAGGUUCUUUUUCUCUCUGAGUUAGGCAAGCCAUGAAUAUGAAAAGGGAAUGUUUGUAUAGUAUCGACUUUCACUUAAUGAAAAUAGAUACAAAUGCAGGGAGAGAAAGAGAUAACAUGCUACUAAAAUGCAGGCCAAUGACUCUUAAAAAUAUCACAGCUCCCAGCAAGUGGGUGGUAAAUGUGGCUGGCAGAGAUGACGUGUGUCUGGGGACAGGUGGAAUGCAGGGUUGAGGAGAGUGUUCAAUGCGGGCAGGACUGACGGGAGAAGGGUGCAGGCACUGGUGUUGCUGGGCUGAGCUGAGUCACUCAUUCCCCAAGGACCCUGUCUGCGAGCAGGAAGUGCCAGAUGGGGAGGCACUCAGCAAGUGGAUGAGGACAAGCAGCACCACUGCCAGCCCCUCUGCAGCAUGACUGCACCCCAAAGGGUGCUGCUGGAGGCUGGGGAGGGUUCACCUGAGCCUCCGUCUCUCCAUCUCUGGAAGCUCCCUCACCUUUCCAUGUAAUAAGCAGAGUGACUUCCCCAUUCCACGUGUGUUGCCCGGCUCUUCUGGCCCAGCCCAACCUCUGAGCCUCAGACCAGGAAAUGUGAAACCAGGUGAUGUGCACCUAUCAAGUUGUGUCAUGGUUCAAGACUUCCUCACUUCAUGAAAAGUUCCAUAAAGGCCCUCCUCAUUCUGUGUUAAAUGAAAAAUGAGCCAGUGUCCACAAGGAAGGGUGCCUCUUUUUAAAAAUAUUGCCAUGAUGGCUGGGCAAGGCGGCAUGCUCCUAUAGUGCCAGCUAUUCGGGAGGCUGAGGCGGGAGGAUGGCUUGACAACAGGAGUUUGAGGCUGCAGUGUGCUAUAAUGGUGUCUGUGAAUGGCCACUGCACUCCAACCAGGGCAGCAUGGCAAGACCCCAUCUCUCUCACACACACACACACACACACACACACACACACACACAGAGAUACACACACCCAGAGAUGUGUCUCACCCUCAGCUAAAUCCAAAUAUUCAUGGUGAUGUUAAUAUCACGCACUCAAAGUAGCCCAGAAAAGGGGAAGCAGCAGUCCCUGGAAGGUUAGGUGUUCUACUGAGAAGCCCCCAACUUUCCUCACACCCCACUUUAACCUUUCACUUUGCUUUUCUAGAUGAGAAUGGGCCUUGCAGCCACUGGGAAAGGCAGCAAAGCCCAAGAAAUUAAUAUCCCCAUGAAUAUCUGGAGUUGACUGAAGGUCAGAAGAAAUGGGUGGCAGAAGAAAGAGAAAAAGAAACAUUGACAGAUGGAAUCCCUGCCAGGCCACUUUCAGUAUCAAGAAAAGUGAUCAGGUGGCAGAGCAAUCCAUGGAGGCUUCAGACUGAUGCCCAGUGACAGCUGACUGCAAGCAAAGUCAAAGUGGUUAAGGCCACUUAAAUAUACUCCGUAUUCACGAGUCCAAAUUAAAUACUCCCUAUUCACAUCCAAUUUAAACCUGCAUCCCCUGCGUGGGCGGUGGAUGUAAACGCUGAGAAAGCCAAAGCUAAGUGUGGCCCCCUGCCAGGCCAGCUGCUCCCUCUGUUCUCAGCAGCUGCUACUGGACCUGGGAAGGUUCCAAUCUGCUCCCACUGGUGGGAAAGACCGCCCCGCUCCUGGCGUCGGGGAGGCCCUGGAGCUCUUCUUUCCUCCUGAAAGUCCACGCAGCACGGUCGCUGGGAAGGCAGGGAAGCCCAAGAAAAGCCCAUUCUGAUCUAGAAAAGCAAAGUGAAAGGUUAAGGUGGAUAUGAGGGAAGUUGAGGGCUUCUUAGUAGAACACCUAAUCUCCCAGGGAGCUGCUGUUCCCCCUUUCUGGGCUGCCUCGAGUGUGAUUGUUAAGUCAAAUUGGCCCCAUCCGCUCCUUGGCUGAAUUUGCCCGGAUUCUCUCUGGAACACAGGACUCAGCACCUCCACAGAUGCAUCUCCCCUGACAGUUCCAUCUGCACCUGAGCCCUUCGUCAAGUUAAUGGGUCACAGGCGCUCUAACUGGACUCAUGCUGCUGUGAAGCACUGCGCAUGUCUACCGCAGGAUACGGACCACCCUCGUAAAUAUCCCAGGCGAUGCUGAGGUACUAAUGAGCCUGCACUUGUGCCCUACACCCCUUUACUCUAGGGAGAAAAAAGACAUCUAACUCAUCCAAGUGGGCCUCCCAGCAAUAGCUCACCCAGUUAUUUUUUUAUGAGAUUGUUAUCACCAGCAGCCCCAAGAUUAAUAAAAAUGGAGAGUAAUAAAAGAAAUCACAGGGGAAACUGAUGCUAUCAACUAUGUAAUAAAAGAGAGGAAGCAGGCUUCGUUUGUAAUGACAAAUUCUCCUUGUCUCACCAAGCUCAGAAAUAAAGCCCCGAAAGAAGGGUGUAGUAGGGUGUAGUACGUGGCUUCAGAUGUGUGGACACACUAGCGCCAGGAAGCCAGCAGAGCCCCAGCCAAAUCCAAGUCCACAAAGCCAACUCGGAAGCAACGCACCAGCAUCCUGUCCUGUCUCCAGGCUCUCUGGGCGGGUUCUCCCUGAGCACUUCCAGAUGGCUUCUGUUUGCUCCUCUCUUCACUAGAUCUGCACAUGUGGCCAUGAGAAGGCAGCCGGGCUGGCGCUGGGUGAGGCUCAAGGGCAGUGGGAUAGGGGGAAGGAGGAGGGGAGGACAUGUGCAGGAGACUCCCGGGUCCCAGCUCUGUUCCUGUCUCCUGCCUGGGACCCUGAGCUCCGCAGCUGGGGUUUGUAUCAAGGAGAGCUUGCUCUCCACUGCAGAGUGAGAGGCUCACAGAAGAGCCACGACGUGGACUCCAGAGCAUGGUGGGGCCUCUGUGUCUCCCUCACUGCGCACAGGAAGGGAAGGAAAUGGAGGAGAAUCACCUUUCUCCUUUUCUACUCCACAAACGCUGACACCAAUCCUGACCUGGUUUUCCCAGCAACACAGAUGUGAUGAGGGAUUGCUUCGAGCUUGGGGUCAUCCCCGUAUUUUGAAAAGAGCCCUGUGCCACCUGCAGUGAUAAAAAGGACCACGGAGAUGUAGCCCCAGCCAAGGGGGCCAAACUUCAGGGAGAAUGCGGAAUCAACUCAGAUCCAAAUAAAUGUAGCCACCGCAGGGCUGCCCCCAGCUCUGAGCCCGUGGGCAUGUGUGCUGAGGGUGCAGGAGAGAGGAGAGAGGGGAUCCCUGCAGCGGGGCCCGAAGCACGCAACACUCCUUUGUCACCCAGCUUUGCGGAAGGGAAGGCCAGUCUAGAUCAGGAGAAUGGUCACAAGGGCAGGGUCUAGGAGGUGGUCAGUUAGUGAGGAGGAGGGAAAGCAACAGUGGCGUGGGACAGGCAGGGUCCCUGUGGGAACGGGCGUGAUGUGAGACACAGCACAGAGGGCUGGAACAGCAAGGGGACAAAGCACAUUCAGGACGCAGGGACUUUGUGGGGGCCAGGGCUUUCCCGUGAAACCUGGGAAGUUGAGGGGGUGUCAUCAAGGAUCACCAGGACCCUUCUCCAACUUUAAUUACUGAGGACUUUCCCAUGGUUAGCAAGAAAGCUAGGUGAUGCUGCUGGGGACAGCCAUCUUGCUUCUCCAACAGAUGCAGCGAACAGCUCGGGCUUAUCUCCGCUCCCGAGCAGACACAUAGUGGGAGAAAGGGGGAGAACACAUGGCAAAGGGAGAACUUCAGAGCAGGAUGCAUCCCUAAGCCCCAGCUGCCAGGACUGGGACCAGGAGUCCCCAAGGACUGCAGCCGUGACUCAUCCAGGCCUCGGUACCCUCCCAUCUCUGAGGUUUUCUGCUGUGGCUCUGGGGCUCUUGUGCCCAGUGUCGCUUUGGGGCUUUCUCCUGGUGGAGACUUGGGACACUCAGUGUCGGAGCCUCCCAGCAGCAUGAGGAACGGGGUGCAAACAACGCAGACGACCCAGCUCCCCAAGAGGGGUCUGACUCCUGCAUCCAGUGAGGGCUGAGUCAGAGCCAAGCGGAGCCUAUCAGUGCACAAUCCAAACACCAGCCAAGGCCCCGUGGCCAGGCCAGUCAUAAACCCACGGCCACAAAAACAGGCCAGAGAGCCCAGGAAUACAGCCCUGCCCGGGUAAUGAUUAACUGGCAUCCAGGGGUCCUGGAGGUCAGAGCGAUAAUGAGAAAGUUUCCCUGAACUCUCUCAAGUGCAGAGGGCCUGGGGAGGGGCCCUGCUGGCGCCGAUUCCUGGGCAAACACUUCCUGCCCCUCUCUUUUCAACGACCAAACAGCCUCAGCCCCUCUCACCUCCUUCCUGAGAACUGGGGAACUGACAUCACAAACGCAGGGCCUCAGGGCCCUGGUAAAAUCCACUGGGAAUAGCCAACGAGGGCAUCUUCCCAGGAGGCUGAAUUUCCUCAAACACGAGGCUGAUAAGCCCUUUCAAGAAGACAGGGCUUCAUGCUUAUCUUUAUUGUCUGGCAUGUCCUGAGACAUGGGAGCCACUCUGUUUGAGUGAAACUAGAAUAUUAUGUUCAGCGAGACUUUCUGCUUUCUGAUUUUUCUAGUGCUUUUGUAUCUUGCAGUGGAAUUCUCCAGCAACUUUCUUCUGAAAUUCCCAAACAACUUCCAGUGCAGAACUCCUGCCUCGGUUUAAGUUAAGGAGGUUUGCUAAGGCCCCGCUAUGUGUCUAGUUGGGGUGCUUUGCACAGAGUGAAAAAUAAUUCCCUCACCGGGAAGGCAAAGCUAACCUAGAGGAAAACAUAACAAUGGAAAAAUCUUUAAGGUGAAAGGUCUCCAAAGUUUCUCUGUGUUCUAGGAAAUCAUAAUGUCAGCUAAGGAUUAAAGAGGUCUGUCCCCUCAACUUGCAGAGAUAAUUGAAGGAAUAAAUGACUGGACAGGGCUCGGUGGCUCAUGCUUGUAAUCCCAGCACUUUGGGAGGCCAAGGCAGGAAGAUCUCUCAGACCAGCCUGAGCAACAUAGGUAGACCUCGUCUCUACAAAAGAAACAAAUGAACAAAACAUUAGCCAAGAGUGGUGGCACAUGCCUGUGGUCCCAGUUACUCAGGAGGCUGAGGUGGGAGGAUCACUUGAGCCCAAAAAGUCAAGGCUGCAAUGAGCCAUGAUCACUCCACUGUACUCCUGCCUGAGUGACAGAACAAAAACCCUGUCUCAAAAAAUAAAAUAAAAUAAAUGUAAAAAAAUUAAAAAUAAAUGAUUCACUUGAGGAUAUGUGGUUGUCAGUGAUCAAGAUGGCGCCAUGUUAAGGCUGGGCACAGUGGCUCACACCUGUGAUCCUAGCACUUUGGGAGGCCAAGGAGGGCGAAUUGCUUGAGUCUAGGAGUUCAAGACCAGCCUUGGCAACGUGGCUAAACCCCAUUGCUACAAAAAUAUAUAUAUACAAAAAAUUAGCUGGGAGCGGUUGGCACAUGCCUGUAGUCCCAACUACUCAGGAAGCCGAGGUGGGAGAAUUGCUUGAGUCUGGGGAGCAGAGGUUGCAGUGAGCUAAGGUCAUGCCACUGUACUCCAGCCUGACAGAGCAAGACCCUGUCCCCCCACAAAAAAAAGCAUCAUGAGCAACUCUCCCAAGGCUGGCCCCUGCACAUGUCUUCCCAUCCACCAAUAGAG
rnacentral:lncRNA from 1 species